rnacentral:tRNA from 2 species
ACGAAUAUGUUGAAAUUGGUAGACAAUCUUUUCUUAAGCAAAAGUGGGAGUGAUCCCUUAAGAGUUCGAGUCUCUUUAUUCGUA